GAUGAACGCUGGCGGCGUGCCUAAUACAUGCAAGUCGAGCGAACAGACGAGGAGCUUGCUCCUCUGACGUUAGCGGCGGACGGGUGAGUAACACGUGGAUAACCUACCUAUAAGACUGGGAUAACUUCGGGAAACCGGAGCUAAUACCGGAUAAUAUAUUGAACCGCAUGGUUCAAUAGUGAAAGACGGUUUUGCUGUCACUUAUAGAUGGAUCCGCGCCGCAUUAGCUAGUUGGUAAGGUAACGGCUUACCAAGGCAACGAUGCGUAGCCGACCUGAGAGGGUGAUCGGCCACACGGGAACUGAGACACGGUCCAGACGCCUACGGUAGGCAGCAGUAGGGAAUCUUCCGCAAUAGGCGAAAGCCUGACGGAGCAACGCCGCGUGAGUGAUGAAGGUCUUCGGAUCGUAAAACUCUGUUAUUAGGGAAGAACAAAUGUGUAAGUAACUAUGCACGUCUUGACGGUACCUAAUCAGAAAGCCACGGCUAACUACGUG
rnacentral:rRNA from 1 species